GCGCUCGCUUCGGCAGCACGCUAGUAAGACUGGAACAUACAGAGAAGAUUAACAUGGCUCCUGCGCAAGGAUGACACGCAAAUUCGUGAAGUGUUCCGUAUUUUU
rnacentral:snRNA from 1 species